GCAGCUAUUAAAAUAAACCUAGGACCAGGCAUUAAUGAUCAGAAAGCAAGAAGUGGUGCCUCCUGCAAUUGGGUAGCUGACAUAGAUGAGGAUCCGUGAAGCCUGAUUCCAGGUGAGAGAGCCAGAACACAGGUCAGCUUGUGCACAGCCGUGCUUCCUAUUCCAAGGGCCCUCUGCACUCAGUGACUGGAAGCAGCGCGCUACGGGCGCUCCGGACCGCCGGAGAAAGAAACGAGGGGUGUCUUCCCAGAGCGGCAGUUUUCGUGAAUGCUCCCAUUCUGAAGCUGGGAAACCAAACAGCUGUGAGUGAGUCUCACAUCAGGAACAGAAGCAGCACAGGAACCAAACAAGCGUGGUCACUCCCGCCAGGGGUAUCAGAACAGCAGAUCCUACAGACCUGUUUCCUCAUCAAUCUCUCCUCGCAGAGACUACAAGCUCCCUGAGGGUAAGACCUAGGCCUGCCUUUCUCCCUCAUUCUCUCAGUGCCCAGCACAAGGUUGGCACCUAAUCAACACUCAGUAAACACAGUAGAUGCUCAAUAAAUAUUACUUGGAUGAAUGGAUUAAAUAAACAUUUAAUCUACUGUUACCCAG
rnacentral:lncRNA from 1 species